UAACACGUAAACAACCUGCCUUCAAGAUGGGGACAACAGACGGAAACGACUGCUAAUACCGAAUACGAUCCGAAAGUCGCAUGACAUUUGGAUGAAAGGGUGGCAUAUCGAAGAAGCUAUCGCUUGAAGAGGGGUUUGCGUCCGAUUAGGUAGUUGGUGAGGUAACGGCCCACCAAGCCGACGAUCGGUAGCCGGUCUGAGAGGAUGAACGGCCACACUGGAACUGAGACACGGUCCAGACUCCUACGGGAGGCAGCAGAC
rnacentral:rRNA from 1 species